rnacentral:tRNA from 1 species
CAUUAAGAAGCUAUGCGACAGCACUAGCCUUUUAAGCUAGAGAAAGAGGUCCGCCAACACCUCCUUAAUGA